UCGUUCCACAAACACACCUAUGUACAUACC
rnacentral:piRNA from 1 species